AGCAUAUUGAUCGAACUCCUCUUUUCUUCCUCAUAUGCUCUUAACAUUUUCUUCCCCAACCAGACCAAAAAAACAUUUUUUUCUCCAAACCCUAUUUCUGUUCACGCUUGUAGAUCUGCCUAAUUCUGCUGGUUCUAAUGAGAUCUGUGGACCUAUUUCUCUCCCAAUUUCCUUCAAUUGUAUUGGCAACAACACCCACCUCUACGACGACCUCGAAGAUGUCAGCAUCACUCCUCUCCUCAACAGCAAGUGAGAAGCUCCUAUCUGGUUCUUAUGGAUUCGAAUCAUAAUGGGUCUCCCACCUCAAGUCUCGAUUCGAGAUCAUCGGCCUGAUCUCUACUCAUCAUUUGGCAUCAUCCUCCGCCCCAAACAGUUACAUGGUAUUGUGAGCAUGUGGGUUUCUUUAACCCAUCAAAUUGAUCUUCUGGGUUUCUUUAAUUAUCGGAAAAGGUUGAGUCUUUCCUGCCGAAAAGCUAGGGUUUGUAUCUGAUGAGUUCCAAUACGGCGCCGUAUCUGCCGAUUCAGCUGUUCCCAGGAGGUCCAAGUGGCCCAAAUAUUCAAGAUUUACUCAGCAGGAACUUCCAGCAUGCAAGCCAAUUCUCACGCCAAAAUGGGUAAUCACAGCAUUCAUGCUCAUUGCAAUCGUUUUGAUAAACAUUAGAGUUGCUACCCUAUUUGCUUCCCGAUAUGUUGUUGAAAUUGUUGAUCGAUAUGAAACUGAUUGCAUACCAGCGUCCUCUGGAAGUGUUAAGGUCAUAUACAUCCAGACCUCGGGAAAUAAAACAUGCAACAGAACUCUGAUGGAAUCCAUGGUCAACAUUGAUCUACAAAUGACAUGAAUAACAGGGUUUGCAGUUGGUGAUGGCUCUUAUUGGUGUGAGUCGGCUGAUUUUCAGAUACAUAUCUUUCUUCCUUCUCAUUCUGCACAAGAUGUUUGUUUAUGAGUUCAUGCCUAAUGGUAAUGGUACCUAACGGAGAUGGGGAGAAUAUGGACUUUACAACAUUUGAAGUUUAUACGAUGCCUUUCUGGCUGGAGUUUCAUCUAGCUAAUCCUGUUUGCUUACUUUGAUAUAAGUCACAGAUAAAAUCAAGGGAAGCCUGGACUUCAGUAUGAGUUUACGUAUUGCUGUUGUUCAGCCAAAAGACUUAUUUAUCUCCAUUCCACCGAGAUAUGAAAGCCACCAACAUGGUUUUGGACUUCAGUUUCUGAAUCGUACCGACAAGAGUUAUGGGAAUAUGCCUCUGUAAGGAGAAAGAUAUGGACUUUGUACACUACUUGCAGUUCAGUGAUGGAAUGAGAGAGAGACGAGAGCAAUAUCUGGUUUCGAUCAUAUGAAAGAAGACAGUAGUCACCUUUGGAAUCUUCUAGUCUAGGAAAAUUUGUAUUUAGAUGUUAUAAUAUUCAAAAUAAUUAAGUUUUCCAUGAUAAUUUUUUUUUUAUUAAAAAAAGAAAUAUAGAGUCACCAAUAGAAUUGGUGUGGUGCUAAUUAUAUUGA